CAGGGAAUAGUUUAUUUAAAAUAUUAAUUUUGGAGAUUAAUGAUAGGAGUUAAAUCUUUUCUCUGA
rnacentral:tRNA from 1 species